rnacentral:tRNA from 1 species
GCCCAGAUAGCUCAGUUGGUAGAGCAACGGACUGAAAAUCCGUGUGUCGCUGGUUCGAUUCCUGCUCUGGGCA